UACGGGAGGCAGCAGUGGGGAAUACUCCAAAGGGGCGAACCUGAGACAGCGACGCCGCCUGAGGGGAAGAAAACUCUCUUGCUGGUAGUACUGCUUCUUUUCGGAAGAAGAAAUGACGUCCCCC
rnacentral:rRNA from 1 species